GGCUCAGUGGCGGUGGACUGUACUCGCUUACAAUUCAUGUGCCGGUCUUGAAAUUUUAACCUGCGAGUCGCUCGUUCGAAUCGAGCCUGGGCCC